GCGCCGCGCAUGCGCAGCGGGGGUGACUUUGGGGCGCCAUGCUGAGCAGGCUGCUGGGGCCGCGGCACGUCCAGCUCCUCCAGAACUGGACUCCCACCCUGGUGACCUGGGGUGGUGUAGCUGGGACUGGUUUGAUCUGGAUCACAGACUGGAAGCUGGUCCUUCAGUAUGUUCCCUACAUUGGUGGCAAGUAUAAAACUGAAGAGUAAACUUCCCUCUGAUGUUUGAACUCAUGAAAUCCAACAACCAAGCUGAGGAAGCCAGCUGCACUUGGAGCAUCUCAGGAGAUUUGUUGCUGGGUGGAGUGUUGGGAGCCAUCCGUCCGUGGGGACCCUGCUUGGAGGUGACCUUGGGAUGCCCAACUCAGCUUCUGCAGCAGGUUGUGGGGACCUUCCCCUUCCCAUGAGCAGCUGUGACCACUUAGUUGUGAACUUCACUGGCCAACCUGCCUAGCACCCUCCAUCCAAUCACCUUCACAGCAGAUCUUGUCUUAAUGGGAGUAAUUUAUAAACCUGAUGUGCAAAAUAAACCAAAUCAAUGAUG